CCCUUAGAUGUUCUGGGCCGCACGCGCGCUACACUGAUGAAUUCAACGAGCACUAACCUGUGCCGAAAGGUUCGGGUAAUCUUGUGAAAUUUCAUCGUGAUGGGGAUUGAUUAUUGCAAUUUUUAAUCAUAAACGAGGAAUGCCUAGUAAGCGUGAGUCAUCAGCUCACGUUGAUUACGUCCCUGCCCUUUGUACACACCGCCCGUCGCUCCUACCGAUUGAAUGUGCCAGUAAAAAGUUCGGAUUGGAGAUAGGAGACGGCAACGUAUCCUAUUUCCGAGAAAAUCUUUAAACUUUCCCAUUUAGAGGAAGGAGAAGUCGUAACA
rnacentral:rRNA from 1 species